CCUUCCUCCCCGCCCCGCCAGCUCCUGCCUUCUGCUGUCUCGGAUCUCCUAUGCACGGGAAACCUGUUGAAGGUAGGACAGCCGAAAGAGACAGGGUUUCACCAUGUUUCCCAAGCUGGUCUCCAACUCCUGAGCUCAAGCUGCCUGCCCGCCUCGGCCUCUGAAAGUGCUGGGAUUACAGACAUGAGCCACUGCACCUGGCCUAUUUAAUUUUUUUAAAAAAAGCUUUGACAAGAUUUCUACAUUGAAGACUCUAUCAAACAAGUAACCAAUAAAUUGAGAUUACUAAUUUAUUACAUCAAUGAGCAAGUGAACAAAUGAACAGAUUAAUAUGUAAUAAAGUAACUUAGGUUAGAGGUAAGAAAUAAUGAGUAGAGCUACAAAGAUACUUUUCUAGAGGAGUAUAGGAUUGGUGUUGACUAAUCGUAAAUUCUUAUAAAAGAUAAUAUGAAAUAUAGAAUUAAAUAUCCAUUAUUACAAGUGAAGUCUACCGGAUUUCUUUUUUUUGAGACAGUCUCGCCUCGCUUUGUCACCCAGGCUGGGAUUAAAGGCACGUGCCACCACACCUGGCUAAUUUUUAUAUUUCUUUAGUAGAAACAGGGUUUUACCACAUUGGCCAGGCUGGUCUCAAACUCCUGACCUCAAGUAAUCCACCUGCCUUGGCCUCCCAAAGUGCUGGGAUUAAAGGCGUGGGCCACCACACCUGACCUCUUUCUUUUUUUGAAGCAAGGUCUCUGUCACCCAAGCUGGAGUGCAGUGGCAUGAUCUUAACUGUUUCAAUUGGCAAUAAUCAGUAAUAAUUGUGCCUCAGAUAAACCUUAUUGGCUAUGAUACUGCCACUGCCCAAAGCUGAUUAUAGGUCACUGUAGCCUCGACCUCCUGGGCUCAAGUAAUCCUCCUCAGCCUCCCAAAGUGUAGGGAUUAUAGGCAUGAGCCACUGCACCUGGUCCUGAUUUCUUUUAUAUUAAAAAAAAAAAAUCAGAGCAUAUAAACUUAAAAGAUCGUUUCAAAUUGUAUAUUGAAAAAAAACGAAAAAAAAAAACUUUUUUUUUUUUUUUGAGACAGUCUCACUCUGUCACCCAGGCUGGAGUGCAGUGGCACAAUCUCGGCUCACUUCAACCUCUGCCUCCCGGGCCCAAGCUAUUCUUGGGCCUCAGCCUCCUGAGUACUGGGAUUACAGGCACACACCAUCAUGCCCAGCUAAUUUUUAUAUUUUUAGUAGAGACAGGGUUUCACCAUGUUGGCCAGGGUGGUCUGAAACUCUUGGCCUCAAGUGAUCCACCCACCUUGGCCUCCCAAAGUGCUGGGAUUACAGGCAUGAGCCACCGCGCCGGGCCUAAGGGAAUUUUUUUUUUUUCCUUUUGAGACGGACUCUCACUGUCACCCAGGCUGGUGGAGUGCAAUGGUGCGGUCUCGGCUCACUGCAACCUCUGCCUCCCGGGUUUAAGCGAUUCUCCCACCUCCACCUCCCUGGGGCUACAGGCACGUGCCACCACACCUGGCUAAUUUUUGUAUUUUUAGUAGAGACGGAGUUUCACUAUGUUGGCCAGGCUGGUCUUCAUCUCCUGACCUUGUGAUCCGCCCACUUCGGCCUCCCAAAGUGCUAGGAUUUACAGGCGUGAGCCACCGCGCCAGGCCAGGAAUUUUUUUUUUUUAAUUUUAAUUUUUAAUUUUUGUGGGUAUAUAGGUGUAUAUAUUAAGUGAAUUUCAUGUGAAUAUGUAAAAGGUAUAAGUCAGUGACUCUGAAUGGAGGUGGAGGGAAGAGGAGGAGAGAAUGCCUUCCAGAGAUAAUCACAUAAGAACUGGAUGAAAGAGUCAGUGCUUUUUCAAAUUAUAAAAAUUAUACUUUCUGAAACUUUUUUUUUUUUUUUUGAGAUGGAGUUUCACUCUUGUUGCCCAGGCUGCUGGAGUACAAUGGCGUGAUCUUGGCUCACUGCAACCUCUGCCUCCUGGGUUCAAGCAGUUCUGCUGCCUCAGCUUCCCGAGUAGCUGGGAUUACAGGCAUGAGCCAUCACGCCCAGCUAAUUUUGUAUUUUUAGUAAAGAAAGGGUUUCUCCAUGUUGGUCAGGAUGGUCUCGAUCUCUUGACCUCGUGAUCCACCCGCCUUGGCCCCCCAAAGUGCUGGGAUUAUAGGUGUGAGCCACCGCGCAUGGCCUUUUUUUUUUUUUUUUUGAGACGGAGUCUCCAUCUGUCGCCAGGCUGGAGUGCGGUGGCGCAAGCUCAGCUCACUGCAACCUCCGCCUCCCAGGUUCAAGUGAUUCUCCUGCCUCAGCCUCCCAAGUAGCUGGGACUCCAGGUGCCCAACACCACGCCUGGCUAAUUUUUUGUAUUUUUAGUAGAGACGGGGUUUCACCAUGUUGGCCAGGGUGGUCUCAAUCUCUUGACCUUGUGAUCCACCCACCUUGGCCUCCCAAAGUGCUGGGCUUACAGCGGUGAACCACUGCGCCUGGCCCUCUUCUUUUCUCUCUCUUAGUCACCCAGACUGGAGUGCAGUGGCCAAAUCAUAGCUUCAGGUUAUGAUCAUAACCUGGAGCUUCUGAGCUCGAGCAAUCCUCCCACCUCGGCCUCCUGAGUAGCUGGGUGGUACAGGACCACCACACCUGACUAAUUUUUUAAUAUUUGUAUUCAGACGAGGUCUCACUGUGUUGCCGAAGCUGUCCUGGAAGUCCUGGACUGAAGUGAUCCUCCCACCUCGGCCUCCCAAAGUGCUGGGAUUACAGGUGUGAGCCACCAUGACCAGCCAAAACCUUGAUUUUUCUGUCACCCCCUCCACUGCACCCUGAGAAUCACUGCUGUAGUAGACUACUGAAGACAGUAUGUUGAAAAUGUUCUCAUUUGGUAAGAAGUAAUUCAAACUACAUUCACGUGAUUAUGAUCUCGAAACUAAUAUGACCUAGGAAAGAGACCCUAGUAACAUUAUCUUAACCAUUUCUUAAGGACCUUAAACCCUAGUGACAGUAUAUUAACCUUUUCUUAAGGACCUCAGCCCAUUGUGCUGCUGUGACCACAAAAGCCAUAUAAUGUUGGGUGACCUGAAUAUUAACACAGUAUUAUAAAAUCCUCUGCAUCUGCACUUUGAAAAAGCAUCACAGGGCUGGGAGCAGUGGCCCACGCCUGUAAUCCCAGCACUUUGGAAGGCCAAGACGAGUGAAUUACCUGAGGUCAGGAGUUUGAGACUGGCCUGGUCAACAUGGUGACACCCCAUGUCUACUAAAAAUACAAAAAUUAGCUGGGCGUGGUGGCGGGUGCCUGUAAUCCUAGCUACUUGGGAGGCUGAGACAGGAGAAUCGUUUGAACCUGGGAGGUGGAGGUUACAGUGAGCUGAGAUCGUACCAUUGUACUCCAGUCUGGGUGACAAAUUUUACUCCAGUCUGGGUGACAAGAGCAAAACUUGGUCUCAAAAAAAAAAAAAAAAAGAAAGAAAAAGCAUCACAGGCCAGGCACGGUGGCUCACGCCUAUAAUCCUAGUACUUUGAGAGGCCAAAGCAAGCGGAUCACUAGAGCCCAGGAGUUCAAGAUCAGCCUGAACUACAUGGCAAAAUGCCAUCUCUUAAAGAAAAGGAAAGGGGAGGGGGAAAGAAAAGAAAAGAAAGGAUAUGAAUAAAUUGCCUUAUUUAUAUAGAUAAAUAAAUAAAUUUCAGCAUCACAGACAUCUGAACCCAUACCCCACAAUUAAGAACCAGUGGUUAUUUUACCCUCAUUUUAUACACCAGGAAACUAAGAUCCAGAGAGGUUAAAAUGACUUAUUAAAGAUGAUGAGAGCCUGGGCGUGGUGGCUCACUCCUGUAAUCUCAGCACUUUGGGAGGCCAAGGCUGGUGGAUCAUCUGAGGUCAGGAGUUCCACACCAGCCUGGCCAACAUGGCAAAACCCCGUCUCUACUCAAAAUACAAAAAUUAGCCGGGCGUGGUGGCAUGCACCUGUAAUCCCAGCUACGCAGGAGGCUGAGGCAGGAGAAUUGCUGGAACCUGGGAGGCAGAGGCUACAGUGAGCCGAGAUUGCGCCACUGCACUCCAACCUGGGCAACAGAGCAAGACUCCAUCCCCACCAAAAAGAAAAAAAAAAGACGAUGAGAUAGUUAUUGGUGGAUCUAGGCAUCAGAUCUCCUAAAGUCCAAUCGAAUGCUCUUAACUACUAUUUUGGAAACCAUUAAUUCCUAUUUUCAGUAUUCAGAGUUUUCAUCCAGUGUGCAGUUCUGGUCAUCACAAUUUUAAAAAAGUAAUAAAAGUGUCUAAAGAGAAACAAAUGAGAUAAAAGGAUAAAGGAUACAUUGCCUUAUUUAUUUAUAUCCCAACCUUAUUACAAAAAGCCUUACAAGAUGCAGAUAUUAUAGUAAUAUAAAAGGAUUAAAACUUAGGAAAAUGAGAAUAAGGAAAAUAAAAGUAGAAAAGGAAGACAGAACCAAGAACAUGACUAGCAUACAAAAUACAUAAACACUUGCUGAAGGUAGACCACAAAUUGGGCUCUAAAUGGCCUAGUAUCAGUACAAACAGAAAAAUACAAUCAGUUGAAUAUUUAGUGUCCUUAAGGUAAAAACCAAACAGCAAUUCAGGAAAAGCAUAACUGGGUCCAGAGAAAAUUUCUCCCAUGCAUUCUUAAAUAGAACAUUAUGAACUGUUAUGAUAAACACCCUUUACAGUAUCCACAGCAAUUAAAUUUAUUUUAUUUUUUUCCUGAGACAGGAUCUCACUCUGUUGCUCAGGCUGGAUGCAGUGGCACGAUCUUCACUCAUUGCAACCUCCAUCUCCUGGGUUCAAGCAAUUCUUCCCCCUCAGCCUCCUGAGUAGCUGGGACUACAGUGUGUGCCAUCAUGACCGGCUAAUUUUUGUAUUUUUUUUGGGAGAGACGGGGUUUCACCAUGUUGGCCAAGCUGGUCUCGAACUCCUGACCUCAGGUGAUCCGCCCACCUCAGCCUCCUGAAGUGCUGGGAUUACAAGUGUGAGCCACCACACCCGGCGAGCAAUUAAAUUUCAUAGAGAUUUUCAUAUGGAUUACCAAAAUCCAAUUCAGAAAAAGCAAUUCUGCAGAGGCCAAUAAAAUGCCAGCUAUGCAUGGGGAAAUCUGGCUUAAUCUAGAGACAGAAUUAAUAAAUAGAACUACAGAGUACUCUCCAGACUGUCUUUUGUCUAGAGAGAUUAGAUGUAACUGAAUAAUAUGAUCUAGAUUAAAAACUUUCCCUUCAAGUCUCAGGACAAAAAUGAAAAUUGUGAGAAGUUAGUUUAAGAAAAGUGAAAAGAAGUCAUAAAGGCCAAAACUGUAUACAAAUUUAAGGUCCAGAUGAUUUUCCUUACUAAAGGAAAAGGUUAUUGAGAUAUGUCUCUAACCUUCAGUCUCUUUUUUUUUUUUUUUUUUUUUGAGACAGAGUCUACCUCUGUCACCCAGGAGUGCAAUGGCACAAUCUCGGCUCACUGCAACCUUGGCCUCCAGGGUUCAAGCAGUUCUCCUGCUUCAGCCUUCCGAGUAGCUGGGACUACAGGUGCGCAACACCAUGCCCAGCUAAUUUUUGUAUUUUUUAGUAGAGACAAGGUUUCACCAUGUUGGUCACGCUGGUCUCGAACUCUUGACCUCAACUGAUCUGCCCACCUUGGCCUCCCAAAUAACCUUAAAUCUUAAGGUUGAUGCAUGCCUCUUAAUCUCUUGGUUUGCCCAUCAGAAACUGAAUCAUGGGCUGACUAGGAGAGAUUAUCAGCUUAAAAAUCCUAUGCUUUUCAAAGAGGUUUUAUUUUGGAUAACUGUUCCAAUUAUAGACCUAGAGAAGACAUUUAACCCACCCAUGUUUCAGUUUCUAUUUUCUUCCUCACUAGAUUAUUUUAUUCACUUUUCAAUUUUUAAAAAUUAGAUUUAUUGCAGACUGGCCUCAAGCUCCCAGACUAUAUUUUUAAGCUGCAUUAUUUAGGGAUUGAAAUGCCAGCUUUUGAGACUUUUGAAAAAUUCACAGGCUGGGUGUGGAGGCUCACACCUGUAAAGGUUGCAGUGAGCUGAGAUCAUGCCACUGCACUCCAACCUGGGUGACAAGAGUGAGACCCUAUCUCAAAAACAAAAAAAAGGGCCUGGUGCAGUGGCUCACACCUGUAAUUCCAGCACUUUGGGAGGCCGAGGCAGGCCGAUUACUUGAGGUCAGGAGUUUGAGACCAGCCUGGCCAACAUGGUGAAACCCUGUCUCUACUGAAAAAUACAAAAAUUAGCUGGGCAUAAUAGUGUGCAUCUGUAAUCUCAGCUACUCGGGAGGCUGAGGCAUGAAAAUCACUUGAACCCAGGAGGAGGAGGUUGCAGUGAGCUGAGAUCACGCCACUGCACUCCAGCCUGGGCAACAGAGUAAGACUCUGUUUCAAAAAAAAAAAAAAUUCAUAUUGCUUCUGAGAAGCCUAUUAAACACAUCAAUAGCAGCCUGGGAACCCAUGAAGUAUUAUUAUUGCUCAGGAAAGGAAACAUGGCAGAGAAACAAGCAGAGGCAGCUCUGGCUGACAGCCUGAGGGUAAGAGCACUGGAGAAGUAAAGAAAAGGAAAAGGUCACCACCCUGAUCUGACAUGUUGAAUUGAGAGGUAGGUUGUAUGAUAGGGAAGGUAUAGCAGCUGUGGCUGCCAGUAGCAGAAUGUCCAAGGUUGGAACUCUGGUCUAAAGCCUAGAACAGAACGUUAAGAGGCUACAAAAUAAAAACAAACUAGAUUAUCAAGGUGGUCAUACUGAGUGGGCAGGGAUGGAGAUCUUCAGGCUCCCAGCUGGGUCCCAAUUUACAGUAGAGAGGCUCAAACAGGGAUAGGGUAGAGCAAGAAGGACUCCAGAUCACAGUCAAAGUCGUCGAAGGGCAUGGUCUCCGCUGAACUGGGCUGGGUAGCUUGUGUCUCCAUGACAAAGUUCACUGGCUGCUUCUGUAGGAGCUCUGGGUCGAAGGCCACACCCCGAAAGAAAGGGUGGACCUGGAAGUGAUGCAGAUAACGUAGACGAUGGAGGGGGUUCUGGCAUAAGAGCUGAAGGAAAAUAGAGCAUGAAGGAUGAGUGACUAGGACAGGAAAGGCCUGAACAGAAAGGAUGGAAAAGAAGAAGUUCAUGGAGCUGUGGAGGGUAGGAAUAAGAACCCUGAAGAGUAGAUGAUUUGUAAAAGAGGGAGAAAUAGAGGCUAAUUUGGGGCAAAGGUGGGAAUAAGGAGCUGUGCUUGUGAGUUUUCAGAUGAGUGUACAGUGUUCCACUCUCUCAGAAGGGACCUCUCUGUUCUAGAUGGGGAGGAGAUUUGGGGGACCAGGAACUUAGGAAUGUGACUCAGUACAGCUUAGACGGCAAGUAGUUAGGUAGUUAAGUUGGAGCCCCCCCAAAAAAAUUGAUGAGAGGAAUGGGGAAAAAUCACUUUAAUGAAGGCAGGAGAGCACAAAUGGUUUGGUAGCAAAGAAGGAAAGCAGUGCUCAUCCUUACCUCAUGGAGCAGGAGUGAGAGGCCCUGGUUAAGAGAAGCUGGGAUCUCAGAGUCACUGUGGGUCACACUUGCCAACAUGGCCACAUGAUCUCUCUCUGCAGCCACUGGAAACUGAGUUAAGAGAUACGGAGUGGAGGUGGGGGCAGGGGUUCAUUCCUUAGUAGGAAUACGGCAAGAUUUCCUAAGGUCUUCCUUCUUCCCACAAGGCAAAGCUCUUCUCUGCCCAAAACUACUACUAUUCUCUCACCUUUCCAGUCGCCAGAGAGAAAAGCAAGACACCCAGGGACCACCAAUCAGCAGCAUGGUUGUAAGGUCCUCCACUUAGGACCUCUGGGGCUACAGAUUUCAAAGAUACUCAUCACUGACAUCCUUUAGCUAUCCUCCUGCCCAAUGCUUACCCAUCAGCUUUAACCUCUCUCACCCAUGUACUGAAGAGUGCCACAGAUAGUGUAGGCUCGAGCUCCCUGGGGCACGUGGCGGGACAGACCAAAGUCUGUCAGUUUCAGAUGGCCUAUGAAAGAAGGUAAGACAACUGCACCACUGUUCCACCCCUCAUCAGCCAUGAUUUAUUCCCAAACCAAAGUACCUCUCAUCCUGGGGCUAAGGAAGGAAAAAGACUUACCUCGUUCAUCUAGAAGAAUAUUCUCCAUCUGAAAGAUCACAGUACCAGGACCAAUUCGGCAGCAAAGAGACGGAUGGAAGCCUCAGGAAAGCAGCCAACAGCCGACCAAAG